GAGGGUAUAGUUCAGUGGUAGAGUGCAUGCCUAACAUGCACAAGGUCGUGGGUUCAACCCCCAGCACCAUCA
rnacentral:tRNA from 1 species